rnacentral:rRNA from 1 species
GACGAACGCUGGCGGCGUGCUUAACACAUGCAAGUCGAACGGUGAAGCGCCUUCCUUUUUGGUGGGUGUGGAUGAGUGGCGAACGGGUGAGUAACACGUGAGUAACCUGCCCCCUUCUUCUGGAUAACCGCAUGAAAGUGUGGCUAAUACGGGAUAUUCUGGGUCUGUCGCAUGAUGGGUCUGGGAAAGAUAUUGUUUCGGUGGGGGAUGGGCUCGCGGCCUAUCAGCUUGUUGGCGGGGUGAUGGCCUACCAAGGCGGUGACGGGUAGCCGGCCUGAGAGGGUGGACGGUCACACUGGGACUGAGACACGGCCCAGACUCCUACGGGAGGCAGCAGUGGGGAAUAUUGCACAAUGGGCGAAAGCCUGAUGCAGCGACGCCGCGUGAGGGAUGGAGGCCUUCGGGUUGUGAACCUCUUUCGCCAGUGAAGCAGGCCUGCCUCGUUUGUGGGUGGGUUGACGGUAGCUGGAGAAGAAGCGCCGGCUAACUACGUG